rnacentral:rRNA from 1 species
UACGUAGGUGGCGAGCGUUGUCCGGAUUUACUGGGCGUAAAGAGCGCGCAGGCGGUCGUUCAAGUCGCGUGUGAAAGCCCCCGGCUCAACUGGGGAGGGUCACGCGAUACUGAUCGACUCGAAGGCAGGAGAGGGAAGUGGAAUUCCCGGUGUAGUGGUGAAAUGCGUAGAUAUCGGGAGGAACACCAGUGGCGAAGGCGACUUCCUGGCCUGUUCUUGACGCUGAGGCGCGAAAGCUAGGGGAGCAAACUGG